GUUGACAUAGUUUAAUAAAAACACUAGGUUGUGGACCUAGAAACAGAAGCUAACCCCUCCUUGUAAACC
rnacentral:tRNA from 1 species